UACGUAGGGGGCAAGCGUUGUCCGGAUUUAUUGGGCGUAAAGAGCGUGUAGGCGGCCAGAUAGGUCCGUUGUGAAAACUGGAGGCUUAACCUCCAGCUGUCGAUGGAAACCAUCUGGCUAGAGUCCGGAAGAGGAGAGUGGAAUUCCUGGUGUAGCGGUGAAAUGCGCAGAUAUCAGGAAGAACACCAAUGGCGAAGGCGGGUCUCUGGGCCGAUACUGACGCUGAGGAGCGAAAGCGUGGGGAGCGAACAGG
rnacentral:rRNA from 1 species